rnacentral:lncRNA from 1 species
AAAUAGGUAUAGGCUGGAUCAAUAAAAGAAAGAUAAGAAAGUUCCGAAAUAGUAUUUUAGUAAAGAAGAGAGGCAUUCUGGGCCAACUACUACGAGUACAUGCCUAUCUAGUGCAGUGGCUUGGAAGCAAGCUACCUUGACCAUCUUCCGAAGUUCUAAAUAAUUUAUUGAUCAAAGGUUGUAAGGGCGGACUGCUUUACAUUCUGCCACACCACAGUGACCUCGAAGUGAUCUUCUUCUAAUUGCGGGACGAAAUUUGACAGCCAAUUGCUGGCUCUGAGUAACUAGCCCAGCAAUAAGCUCAAGUCUUCCAUUACAUAAGGGGUCGGUCUUGCAUGCGAGCCGAAUGACGUAGGUGCACAAGAGUACUUUGUGCCACAACCAUCUCCUUUUUAUAGGUUCUACGGACCGAUGCCUGCUGCUUCAUCUGGGAGAAAAGAGUUUAUAUGAGUAGAGUGAGUAUUUUGCCAAAUGCAACUUGUCUUCUUAGUCUUUCAUUUAUGCAUGCUUGCCUUGCUCUGCUUGUGGUCUCUUACAAUAUUAUGCCCUCUUGCUUGGUCAAGUAUUAGUGCAGAUAUAAACAUAUCAGUCCUUGGUGGUACAAUUCUACUUGCAUCUUAAGUGGUCUACCAACAUUGGUUCGGUUAAGCACAUUUGCCUUUUAAUGCAGAUGUAGCUUUAAAAGUGCACUUCAGGAGUCUCAGCACAAAUGAAAAUUCACGAUUUUGAAAAUACAAGUCGAGCACAGAACAACUUAACAAGUAUGUAUGGUUGUCCAUCCUUUAAAUGAUUGCUCAUUCUGAUAUGAAUCCAGUUAGAAAGGGAACUAGAAAUAACUUUUAAGUACAAAUCAAGUUGAGCUUGUAUAUUUUUAGGUGUUGAUAAGAGAAUUUUCAGAAGGACAACUUGCUUUUUGCUCCUCAAGUUAUUGCUUGAUUUCAAUUUCCCUGUUUCUUUCAGUAAUAUAAUUGACCAAUCUUUAGCAAUCCCAUAAGUUACAGAGUCUUCCAUCCCCUUCUUCUUUUGUCUAUCCCUCAUAUCCUUGAUAAUCCUUCUUCAUACCUUGUAACCCCUUAUGUACUUGAUCACGCCUAAUAUGCCUUAUAAAAAGGAUUAUGCGGUCGUUGUAAAUAUAAUCCAGUUUACAAGUUCGGAGUCGAAUCCCACAGAGAAUUAAGGCUUAGCAAUAUUGCUAAGAAGACGAGCUCGAAUAAUUCAUAAGUUAUAAAUAUUAAGAUUCUUAUAUCUAAUUAACUAAAUAAUUAAAUUAGUAGAUUAACAACUAAAGAUACUACAGGUUGGAGAAAAGAUUUAGCAGGUCUAGAGUUAUGAUUUUUCCAAUUAUCGGAAUCCUUUCCGCUGCGUUUUUAUAAAUUUGCUUAAGUUUUCUCUAUCGAUCAUGAGCACUAUGACUGUCGUAACUCUCUCCCGAGUAGUUACAACAAUAUACUAGACAUAUUCUUCCGAAUUACGCUAGCUAGCUUUAAUUGCAGCUCACUUAGAUCGCAUCCAAGGUUUCGUUAUCCCUAAUCUCACCUUUAAACCCUUCGUAUUGAUUUCUCAUAUACGUUAGAAGUGAUGAUGUUUAACAACCACCUAAAUAUACAUUCUCUCCCGAGUAAUGCACACUAAAUAGGAACAUCUAAUUGAGGGCCCUUCAAUAAAUAGCAAUACGCAUAUAGUUAAACAAAUAGAGAUAAUACUACGGCAAAUCUAUAUUAACAUAACGAGAAAAUCAUCCUUCGACAGGUUCCAUCAAAACCUUAGAUAACAAAUUAGCUAUUCAUAAUAGUAUGCAUAACUACAAUACCAGAAUUCAUAACCAAUAAUGAAAAUAGGAAGAAAGAAGAGAAAAACUCGUAGAAGAAUUCUCUGCCUUGCUUCUAGUGUGUUCUUGCCUUCUUAGGUGCAAUCUCCGGUCUCCACGACAGCUCCGUGCUCUUCCUAGGUCUAAAUUAUGUCAAAAGUAUGUCCAACUCCUUCAAAAUAGCGUUUUUACAUGUAUUUAUACCAAAUAGGGUCGGGCCCAAACGAAACAGUUUUUCCUGCGCGAAAUAGGACUCUGGCUCUGUAAAAUUUGCACAGGCACGCUGCAUUGGACGAUGCACUGUGCGGCGCGGUAGUGGGGAAGUUCAGAGAGUUGUUUUCUGACAAACUGUUGGAAAAUUGCACAGGUGUGACGCACUGUGCGGCGCGGUAGUAGGAAUUCGCGAAAAUGCAAAACAUGAAAGUUGUAGCCUUUUCAAAUAGCUUUCCAACGAUAUAUUGUGGAGUCCAAACGGUGUUCUGAGCGAAAAGUUAUGUGCAUUUUACUAGACAAUGUGUUGUAUGCCCACUCGAUUCUCCGUUUCGUUCUUAUCUAUCAUCCGCUGAUCCCCGAACACGAUCCCGAUUUGAUUCCUUAGGCUUUUACUCAAACUGUAAAGAUCCAAAUCUCUUGAAUUCACUCCAUAAUAUCUACAUAGCUCGGAACCACUCCUACAACGCAUAAAAUACACAAUUAGUGCAAAACACUAGCGAUUAAAGCUCAAACUCAAUUAAAGUGUAGUACAUUAGAGUGUAAUAAGAGACUAAAAUACGUAACUAUAGCCUAUCAUAAGUACUCCUGAACAUUGCUUCCUACUUCUUGCAACCUUGCCAUUUGCCUCAAAAACUGUUAUUCUCUGCCUUUCCCCUGGUUCAUAAAUGGUACUGCAACAUGUGCAGUAAUUUGGGGCAGAAUUCAUGCAAAGGUUAAGGGUAGUUAACGAUGGGGUUGCAAAGUGCAGGUAAGGUCUUAGAGCCACUUAGCAAUUAUUUGGAUGCCAAUUGCUCACUGAUGAUUACUCAUUUUGUUACUCGGGUUUCACCUCCAUAUUGUUAGUAUUGUGCAUCAACAACAUACCACAUUGUGAUUUUUUCAAUUUAAUUUAUGGUAGUUGCAGAAGCGGGAUUAAUAUAUAUUUCGUGUUUCUCGUAAAGAAAAUCAGGUGAUUAAUAUUAGAAAAUUUAUUCUUAUGCUUAUCAUUUUUUUUAGGAUUUUGGUGCAUAUGUAUUAUUUGUUGAAUCAAACAGUUUUAACUAAUGAAAACUUUGGAGAAACAAAGGCAAAGUAGGGUAUCAACCUGAAUUCACUAAGCAUAAGCUUUACAUAAAUGUGCAAAAUCUGAAAAAUAGUCAAAGAAAAAAGUCACUCAUAUCUGGAAUAUCUUAUCUUUCGCCUGAAUCAGACCCUAAAUACACCGGGACAUCGAUCAAACAAUCCAAAUUAAGUUGGUUGUGGAUCUCGUUAGUCCGUAGUUGAGCAAUAUCUCCAUGUAAUUCUUUUACGUUAAAUAUUUUUAGGAGAGGAUCCAAAUUAAGUUAGUUGCUAAGCUGAUCUGUUCAUUGUUGCAUUAUUUCAGGCUCAUCUCAUAGACCUAAGCAUCCGUUUGAACAUCUCAGCCUUGGAGACUAUUUUUUUAUUUAUGAACAUCUACUGCUGGCUUUAUACAGUUCUUUCUUUCUUAAAAAGCCUCAUGAAAUUCUUGAAUAAUGCUCUAGUUAAGAAUCUCCACAAUGUAGAACUCUCAGCCUUGUUGAAGAUUUGGUGGGUGCCUGUCCUAUUAAAUUCUAUGUGUUUCACAGAUUAUGUCAUUUCUUGAGGAGACUACCAAAUUGCAAGUGGGAGAAUGAAUCAAUUAACUUCCUGACUAGUAUUGUCGGCAUUUGGUAAUGAAUAUAACGUCGACUAUCCUUUUCUUUUAUGACUUGGACUUCUACUAUAUGGAAAGACAUGUAUAUUAUGGUGAUUGGUGUAAAGUUGUGUUGUUUUUCAAAAUCCCGUUUGUGCUUAUUGCGCAUACGUAGGUAUAUUUACGUGUCUACAUUGGACUAUUUUCUAAGGACAGAAGUUUAUUUGUACUCAUUCUGGCAUACCAUCUGCUCCUAAAUUUGCAAAAAAGACUGCGACAACCUUUGUGAAUACAUGUCAACUGUUAACUAAAAUCAACAUUCCUGAAAUAGUGCAUGCUCAAAGAAUGGUGAUAUUUAAAUCUUUUGUUUAUUUAUCUACUUGUUAAUUUGUGUAUGGUGAAUGGUGAUUGAAACAAUAUAAUCAUCCUAAAGUUUUAUUUGCAUCUCCAUGUUAUGGGUGAACUCUCGUGUACAAUAAAAGAACGAGAAUAUAGAUGCUAAAUUCAGCAGAGUGGCGCUCAAGAUUUAUGUUGUCUGAUGUAUUUGAAGGGGGAGUUGCAGGCAAUCUUUCCUCAGCUUACAUAGUAUCUCAUCAUCUUGUAUGUGGAAGACACUAGACAUCUCAGCGGAGAGAAGACGACCUGGAAUUUGUAGGGUAAAUAUUUUGUUCUACUCACUUCAUAAUUUGAGUUUGAUAAGUCCUUUUUUCGCCGUUUGAAAUUCAAGUCAUGUAAGUCUCUGAAUAUGCAGACAGUUUGUCAAGAAAAUAUUCAAGUGCUUCAUGACUAUUGCUCCUUGUAAGUACCCAGAUAAUGUAGUAUGCUUUGGAGUCUCCAACAUCAGCCUGUCGUCAUUAACUCUGAUGCUUAGUUCAAUUAUGUUUUUAUAGACUAAACUGAAAAGCAAAUUAUGGAUUUGCAUAAUGUUGCUUGGACAUGGUUUACAGGUCUAAAUAUAAUAAAUAUUCUCAAUUCUUUGUUGGAUUAAAUCUUUUAGUUUUUGCCCCAUGUGGAUACU